CCUACGGGAGGCAGCAGUGAGGAAUAUUGGACAAUGGUCGAGAGACUGAUCCAGCCAUGCCGCGUGCAGGAAGACGGCCCUAUGGGUUGUAAACUGCUUUUUUACGGGAAGAAUAAUGCCCACGUGUGGGCAGAUGACGGUACCGUAGGAAUAAGGACCGGCUAACUCCGUGCCAGCAGCCGCGGUAAU
rnacentral:rRNA from 1 species